rnacentral:rRNA from 1 species
GACGAACCGUGCGAACGUUAUUCGGAAUCACUGGGCGUAAAGCGCGCGUAGGCGGACCUGCAAGUCGGGGGUGAAAGCCCGAGGCUCAACCUCGGAACUGCCUUCGAUACUGCGGGUCUCGAGUCCGGGAGAGGUGAGUGGAAUUCCUAGUGUAGAGGUGAAAUUCGUAGAUAUUAGGAAGAACACCAGUGGCGAAGGCGGCUCACUGGCCCGGUACUGACGCUGAGGUGCGAAAGCGUGGGGAGCAAACAGG